UGGGAGUUGUAGUCCGGUGGCACGGCCCACGAGGCCCGGGAGCGUUCGUCCAGGGCAGUUAACGCCCGCGCUUGAGACCUGACUUCUGGCCUGACGGCUUUGAAAAGGUGAGAGUGCGUGCGUCAGAGGGCUCCAGAGGGCACACGAGGACAUUUGGCCGUGCCUCCGUGCCAUCUAUGAAGCUGACCCGACCCCAACACCUCAUCAGUACAGACCGGGAGACUGGGUUUUUGUCAAAAGGCACUGCCGGGAGACCCUUGAGCCGCGUUGGGAGGGUCCCCACGUCGUGGUGCUGACUACAUCCACCGCUCUUAAGGUAGACGCCAUCGCAACCUGGGUCCAUCACAGCCACGUCCGCCCAGCUGAUCCCUCUGCAGUCCGGGAAGACCUCAUCACACGAUGGAGCCUCGAUUACAAUCAGCACAACCUGCUCAAGCUCAAGCUACGGCGUACUCGACCUGCCUGAUACUGGUAACCUUGCUCGCGGCCACUCAUGCCACCAGGAGUCCCCACGUCCCCCGUUACCUUACUUGGCAAAUCAUAGACACCAGUUCGGGGACUGUACUUAAUCAGACCUCCCAGUUGAGCCCUAAAGACACUUGGUACCCGGACCUCUAUGUAGACCUGCUUUCCCUCAUUCACGUCCAAUACGACCCCGGAUUCGCACUCUCGGACUCCACGAGGCCGCACCCAGGACCAACCAAUGGGGAGGAGCGGAGGACUAUUUCUGUGCCUCCUGGUUGUGUGUCUCAAUGGGACAUAUAUGGUGGACUCCCCCGAAAACGGGUGAUCUAAUUACCAUCAGGCGGCCAAAUAGCCCGCCAUGCGACCGAGAAGGUAAUCCUUGUAACCCCGUGAGAAUAUCUUUCACGGAGCAAGGACAGGGUGGGACACCGGUAAGACCUGGGGAAUAUGUUUCUAUGGUAAGACUAGGGUCGGGUAUAUGGACCACGGGAGACUGUUCACUCUUCGGGUACGGGUGGCACCUCUCUCCCAACAGGCUCCAGCAGGAGUAGGGCCUAACCAAGUACUGGCCCCCCAACCCGCCUCUACCCGGGCGUCCCCGCCCAAGAGCACCCGGGCCCUGGCCUCACAGCCCUCUGCAUCCCUUGGCCCUACUGGGGCAUCCUCCACAUCCCCAACCCCAGUCCGCACCUCAACGUCUGACACAGACCCCUAUGGACCAUAGUUAUGGGAGCAUAUCAUGUGCUGAACGCUUCCCGACCUGACCUGACCGUGUCCUGUUGGCUCUGUUUAGAUGUCCGGCCACCAUAUUACGAAGGCAUUGCUAUUAGAGGCAAUUAUACAACGGCCUCUAAUUCCAGCUCCUGCAGGUAGCAGCAGGCCACUGCAGGACUAACCCUCCAGGCAGUAAUAGGGCAAGGUACUUGCAUAGGCCGAGUGUCCCCUGAACAAUCACAUCUUUGUAAUAACACUAACAGUCCCUAAUGGGACAGCUUACCUGCUCCCUGCCGAAAAUGCAUGGUGGGCCUGUUCUAGUGGCCUCGCUCCCUGCGUUCACUCCCAAAUCCUCCACUCCUCAAAAGAAGGCUUUUGCAUACUCAUCCAGCUAAUUCCUAAGCUAGUGUACCAUUCGGGGGAGGAAGUCCUCAGCAGGAUAGGCUCUGCUAGCUCCCGAAGCAGGAGAGAACCUGUCACAUCCCUGACCCUGGCUGCGCUCCUGGGGCUGGGACUAGCGGGAGCAGGAACCAGGAUAUCCUCGCUUGUUAUACAGGACAAGAACUAUGAAACCCUAAGAGCAGCCAUAGACCUAGAUAUAGAAAGAAUCGAGAAGUCCAUUACCCAUCUGUAAGAAUCUCUUACUUAUCUGAAGUAAUACUCCAGAACAGAAGAGGAUUAGACUUACUGUUCAUGCAGCAAGGAGGCUUAUGUGCUGCCCUAGGGGAGGAGUGUUGUUUUUAUGUUGAUCAUUUGGGAGUUAUAAAGGAGUCCAAGGCCCUCAUAAGAGAGGGAUUGCAGAAACGGAAGCUAGAGAGGGAGCAAUCCCAGUCUUGGUAUGAAUCAUUAUUUAAUUGGUCCCUGUGGUUAACCACUCUUAUUUCUGCCCUCGCUGGACCCUUUAUAAUUUUACUCAUGCUAUUGACCUUCAGCCCUUGCAUUAUCAACCAUCUAGUCCAAUUUGUCAAAGAGCACAUAGGGGCGGUUGAGUUGAUGGUUUUGUGCACUCAGUACCGGCUCUAGUAGCAGAAGGCGAGGUAGAAAUGCAGUCCAUCCCAUGAUUGGGCCUAUAAAUUUCAAGACAAGGGGAGAAUGAAAGGGCAAAGCAGGACUAACUCCAUUUUGUGUCGUAUCCUCCAUCUUGUGUAACUAUGUCCCCAACAUGACCUUUUUCCAAGAAAAGCCACAGAAUGCACCAAUUGCUUAACCCUGCUUCCCCCACCCCCUUAAAUCAGCCAAUAGGAAUGCAAGAGGAACUAACCUAAGGCCAGAAAUAUGCUAGCCACAUCCUGUCUUUGUGUAACUGGACCCUGGCCGCAUCCUGCCUUUGUGUCAAUAGACCCUAGCCCCCACCCAGCCAAUCAGAAUCGGCCAACUCAGUGGUCCGAGUAUCACCCCACCUCCUGACCCCAAGCCCUAUAAACUCUUUGUUCUCCUGAAGCUCGGGGCUCUCUUGAAUCCUGCCGCUGCAUCGGUAGAGGUGGAGAGACCGAGCUCGAGCUUGAAUAAAGGCUCUUUGCUUUUGCAUCGGA